GAUGAACGCUGGCGGCGUGCCUAAUACAUGCAAGUCGAGCGAACGGAUGAGGAGCUUGCUCCUUUGACGUUAGCGGCGGACGGGUGAGUAACACGUGGAUAACCUACCUAUAAGACUGGGAUAACUUCGGGAAACCGGAGCUAAUACCGGAUAAUAUUUUGAACCGCAUGGUUCAAUAGUGAAAGACGGUUUUGCUGUCACUUAUAGAUGGAUCCGCGCCGCAUUAGCUAGUUGGUAAGGUAACGGCUUACCAAGGCAACGAUGCGUAGCCGACCUGAGAGGGUGAUCGGCCACACUGGAACUGAGACACGGUCCAGACUCCUACGGGAGGCAGCAGUAGGGAAUCUUCCGCAAUGGGCGAAAGCCUGACGGAGCAACGCCGCGUGAGUGAUGAAGGUCUUCGGAUCGUAAAACUCUGUUAUCAGGGAAGAACAAAUGUGUAAGUAACUGUGCACAUCUUGACGGUACCUAAUCAGAAAGCCACGGCUAACUACGUG
rnacentral:rRNA from 1 species